rnacentral:rRNA from 1 species
GGGUAAGUAGGUUGGUCGUGCCACCGGUACGUACUGGUCUCACUGAUUCCUCCUUCCUGAAGAACCGUAAUGCCAUUAAUUUGGUGUUGCGGGGAAACAGGACUGUUACUUUGAAAAAAUUAGAGUGUUUAAAGCAAGCUAACGCUUGAAUACAUUAGCAUGGAAUAAUGAAAUAGGACGAUCGAUCCUAUUUUGUUGGUCUCUAGGAUUGACGUA